AUCUAACCAAAUCUUCUAAUGCGUAUGACCCCAUACCAAUCAAUGUAACCAUCUAGCAAUGGUGAUCUGACAACUGGAUAGGUUGAAGUAUUGCAAAGCAACCUUCUAGAACCAAUUGGCGUAUGGUUACCAUAUAAUUCAUUCUUUUGACCCAAAUGCUCAAGAUGACCUAGGGUUUAACUGUCAACCCUAAUUUAAUCGAUCAUAUUGUAUUUCAAUAUUUCAAAUCUAUCUUAUGGAUUAUCCUAGUCAAGAUCUUACUGAAUUGAA
rnacentral:lncRNA from 1 species